UACGUAGGGUGCAAGCGUUGUCCGGAAUUAUUGGGCGUAAAGCGCGCGCAGGUGGUUUCUUAAGUCUGAUGUGAAAGCCCACGGCUCAACCGUGGAGGGUCAUUGGAAACUGGGGAACUUGAGUGCAGGAGAGAAGAGUGGAAUUCCACGUGUAGCGGUGAAAUGCGUAGAGAUGUGGAGGAACACCGGUGGCGAAGGCGGCGUACCUGGACCGGUCACCUGGACGCUGAGACACGAAAGCGUGGGGAGCAAACAGG
rnacentral:rRNA from 1 species